rnacentral:rRNA from 1 species
UGAGCGCUGGCGGUAGGCCUAACACAUGCAAGUCGAACGGCAGCGCAGUAAGGGCUUGCUCUUAUGGGUGGCGAGUGGCGGACGGGUGAGGAAUACAUCGGAAUCUACUCUGUCGUGGGGGAUAACGUAGGGAAACUUACGCUAAUACCGCAUACGACCUACGGGUGAAAGAGGGGGAUCGCAAGACCUCUUGUUAUUGGAGCGGCCGAUGGCUGAUUAGCUAGUUGGUGAGGUAAAGGCUCACCAAGGCGACGAUCAGUAGCGGGUCUUAGAGGACGAUCCGCCACACUGGAACUGAGACACGGUCCAGACUCCUACGGGAGCAGCAGUGGGAAUCUUGGACAAUGGGCGAAAGCCUGAUCCAGCAAUGCCGCGUGCGUGAAGAAG